GACAGAUUAAGAGAUCAACUUCAUCUGUAUAAAUAAUUAUUGUGGUCGACCAGGGUACUUCAGGACUUCACAUAAAUGUUUCCGGAAUUGAAAUUUAUUUCUUUUGUACACAAAGCUUUAGUCAUUACAGUCUGACAGAAUCGUCAUAUUGAAAACCCUGUCUCGGACGCUGAAGGCAAAAAGAGUUCAAGAAACUUUUUUUACAAGCAAGGAACAGACUGUUAAGCGAGACAGGUUCGACCAUUAUAGUCGCUUAACAUCUUUCGCUGGAAUAAAUCUUCAUUGGGCAAGAUUGAUCAUUGCUGAACAAUGGUGAACACUGCUGAGCAUUGAUGAACAAAGCAUCGUAGGGUUUGCUUACCAGUUCACUGCACAAUGACCCUGAGAACGUUUGCGCCAGACACUUCACAGAGAGUUUGAAAUGGCGAUUAAAAAUUACUGGAACCAUAUGUGAAUAGAAAUAUAUUCGAGGCUUUGGUAUGGAGAAUGGCGAGGAGGUUGCUCAGUUAUGCCAUCAAAGACAAAUGUACACCAUGCAAUCCGAAAAUUCAGUACACAAAGCUCAGGUUUGAAAACCA